rnacentral:rRNA from 1 species
UAGGGAAUCUUCCGCAAUGGACGCAAGUCUGACGGAGCAACGCCGCGUGAGUGAAGAAGGAUUUCGGUUCGUAAAACUCUGUUGUUAGAGAAGAACAGCGCAUAGAGUAACUGUUAUGCGUGUGACGGUAUCUAACCAGAAAGCCACGGCUAACUACGUGCCAGCAGCCGCGGUAAUACGUAGGUGGCAAGCGUUGUCCGGAUUUAUUGGGCGUAAAGCGAGCGCAGGCGGUCAAUUAAGUCUGAUGUGAAAGCCCCCGGCUCAACCGGGGAGGGCCAUUGGAAACUGGUUGACUUGAGUGCAGAAGAGGAGAGUGGAAUUCCAUGUGUAGCGGUGAAAUGCGCAGAGAUAUGGAGGAACACCAGUGGCGAAGGCGACUUUCUGGUCUGUAACUGACGCUGAUGUGCGAAAGCGUGGGGAGCGAACAGG